AUGUAUAGUGGGUUUUUCCGUCGGAAUCAAGUAACAACAGAGUGGGUCGAGAAAACUGAUGUGUUUUUGAAAGAGAUAUUCCGUAGUCCAAUGAGGAUGGUGCCAGAAUGCCCGUGUGCCAGAUGUAAGAGGCGUAUUCGCAGAGAUAAGAGUGAGAUGACUAAGCACCUUCGCACGCAUGGAUUUAUGCCCAACUUUAAUAUGCCGAUAAACUUUGCCCAGCGGGACCAUGGUAGAGAGGAUGUGAUACGACAACGCGUCGCUGGUUAUGAGGACGAUGGGGUUAGAGACAUGCUAGAUGAUGUCUUUGCUGCACAACCGACACCUCUGUCACAUUCAGCGAAUGAACCGGAGGAGCCGGAGGAAACCGCAAAGGCCUUCCUGGAAAUCUUGGCCUCGUCAAAGAAACCUCUCUAUGAGGGUGCCAAGCUGUCUGUGUUGGAUGCCAUAUCGCAACUGAUGGCAGUCAAGGCUGAGUACGGCUGUAGCCGAGGUUGCUUCGAAGCAUUUCUGGGAGUAUGGGCUAACAGCCUGCCUGAGGGCCAUGAACUGCCGAAAACCAUGUACGGUACGAAGGAAAUCAUGAAGGCGCUCUCGAUGGACUAUGAGAAAAUACAUGUUUGUCCAAAGAAUUGCCUUUUGUUUAGGCAUGAGUAUGCGGAUGACAAGUACUGUAGGAAGUGCGGUUCCUCUCGGUAUAUUGAGGUGGUCGAUAAGCAUGAUCAGAAGCAGCAGCUAAAAAUCCCUGUGAAGGUUCUUCGGUAUCUUGAUUUUAUAAAAAGACUGCAGCGCCUUUUCAUCACCGAGGAGUCUGCCAAAAUGAUGAAGUGGCACAAGGAAGGGAAAAGGUACAAUCCAAAAAAAAUUGUACAUCCAUCAGGAGGUGAAGCAUGGAAGUCAUUCGAUAUAGAGUACCCGGAGGAAGCAACCGAGGCUGGGAAUGUC
rnacentral:rRNA from 1 species